AUUCGGCGUCGUCGGUGAAAGCAACACGCCGCGAGCGGACUUUAUUUUCUGAUCCGUAUUAAUUUAUAUAUUCUGAGUAGUAUACGAGAAUGUACGAAAAAUAAUAUACUACUGUGAGAUAUUACAAGUACAUCCUGAGAAUUUACGAAAAAUAAUGUACUACCGUGAGAUAUUACAAGUACAUCCUGAGAAUUUACUAAAAAUAAUGUACUACUAGAGAUGUUAUAGAAAUGUUCCAGGUAUAUUAUAUACGGUACGUAUAUGUACAGUACGAGUACAGAACAUUCGAAUGAUAUCAUGUGCUGUAUGGGGAACGUACGACGGAAAACCUAGCUACAUGGCUUUCGCGUUAUCGGGCGAGCCAUCUCGCCGCGGCAGAGGCGGUUUCCGUAUUUGGAAAAUCCUUUAACGAGGAUCCAUUGGAGGGCAAGUCUGGUGCCAGCAGCAGCAGCAGCAGUUUUAUUGUAGACACGUGGCUCUGCGGACGUAGACCGCCAUUGCUUCUCUCAUAAAAUUUCCAAUUUUGCUGAUAUCCUUCGAAGAUUGAGGAUUGGAAAGAAAUUGGAGGUUUGGAAUUGACGUUAUAUUUGAGAGCUUUAAAUUUCACUGUUGUGUGCAUCUGGCAAUUGCUUAUCACAUUGAUGCGGUGACUAAGGAAUUUCCAACAAUAAACGAGACGAUGAAUUUCAGAAAUUAACAAACGAUCGAAUAAUUUUUGCACAAGCCUGAACUAUAGAAUUAGAUGAGGAAGGAACAAAUAAUAAAGAAUCCAUUUAUUGAGAGAGAGAUUGCGUUUCGUAAUUUAUAUGUAAUUCCAAAAAAAAAGAAGUUUAGAGUGGGCAGAAUUAUACAAAGAAUACCAACAUUUGUUGCAUAGGAGAAGGGAAACUGCCCGAAAACCUUCUCAGUAUUCGUGAACAAAAUUAUACAUAAUUAAUAUAAAAGACAAUAUAAGUACAACAAAAGUAUCAAAUGCAUAACAGAAACAAAUAAAUGGUUAUUAUAGAACAAUCCUUUCUUUUAAUUAUAGCAAAAUAUAUUUGCAUUCAAUUAUGCAUCUCUGUAUUCUAUAAUCAGGUUCGUUAUCAAAAGAAUGGUAAUAUAAUAUGUAAGUUCAUACUUUAUCUUGACGUAGUCAAAGUAAAACAAAUCACGUAAUAUCAAGAAAGGAUUAUUCCAUUAGUCGAGCCAAUCAUUUAGAACAUAAAAUUCAAUGCAAACAUAAUUUAAAUAGUCGUUGAAAUAAUAUAUCAAUCUUUGAGUUUUAAUAAUAAUUAAUCUUAAUUGGCCUUUUACUAUUUACCAUAUAGACUGUUUGUUUCUGAACGAAAGACUCAUUUUAAACAAAAUCAUGUGUUAAAUAAAAGAAAAUGAACUAUAAGAAUUUCUUGAUUUCUAAUAUUUAUAGGCCUUCUGUUUUUGAUUGAAACA